UCAGCUGACUCCUUGCAGAGUCAUAUGAUUAGGUCCAUGCACGCUUAACUGCAAGACAAGAUAUCUCUGACUUAAUAAACUGCCUUUUUGCUACACUUGAUUCCACUCUGUCCAGCGUCGUUGAUUUGGUCUCCCUCUCCAGUAUUUGAACACCAACAAGACCUGGCCCCGGAAUGGAGGUUAAAAACAGGCCGGUAUACACUACAGAUGGCAGAUACGGUGACAGAUUCAAACGAACACUGCUUUUCCCAGUCGGCAACAGCACAGUGGAGAAACAGGGGCAUGAUAACCAGAGCAGGAUUUUAUGCAUUACAGAUGAACUACAGGUGAAGUCACUCAAUCCAGUCCCAGAGGCUUGUUGGGGGGACCAUACCAAGGACUUCUGGUGACAGCUAGCUGAAAGAGCUAGCCGGAUUAAUAUCGCACGGCGGGAGGGUAAGACACAUUGAAACUGUCAAACAAUAACAGUGUUCGAGAGGAGAACUGGAAUUAACAGAAUUCCGGGGGCCAUCUCUCGAAUGAAGUAUUCCUGCCUGUCCUAUCACCCCUGUGUUUGUUCAUAGAAGUGAAGAUGUGUCUGGCUCUUGCUAAGUGAUGUGUUCUCGGGGAGAGGGUGGGGCUUCACAUGGAAGCUGUUCGUCUGAGCUGUCUUAUCGUGGGUGACAUAUUCCUGAUACAGCACGUCCUACUUGAGUAUGCGGAGAGUGGUAAUUUGACCCAUGGUUUAGACGAUGAGGAUUUUGUUCCAAAAUAAGCACAAGAGAUCCGUAGUUCUGGGUAGACAGGAAGUUAGAGUAGAGGUUGGGAAGGAUCUCUCAAUGGAGUUUUAUGUAGACCAAAAUGGAGUCUAACUACAUGGCAGUCUAGGACUCUGAGCCAUUAUGGCAUAUAUCGGUGCAGGUUCCCAUAUUGAUCGUGGACACAGGUCAUAGCUCCUUUGGAGAGAGAGGGCUAUAUGAAUCCACUCACCCAGUAUGGAAGGAGGUGGAGUAUAGUGAAGGUGAGAGUUUUUGAUUGUAAUCCGGAGAGAGGGAUGCAUUGCAUAAAGAUACGCCUAACCAUUUAAACAGUAAUGAAGGAGAAUCUAGGGUUGUGGUAUGAUGGAUAUGACCAGUUCUUGGUCGACAACCUAGUACGGUUCUGGGUAGAGGAGUUUAGGCCGGUAUGGUAAAGCUGUUCACGAAAGCAGGAAUGCCAGAUAAUGACAGUUGUAUUGAUUUGCAUCCCCAGGUUCCUCCCUUCACAGUAACCGGAGGAGAUUAUUACCGUUUGGCCCGGAACAGUACUCUUGGGAAAUGAUGUCAGGGCGAGAUUGGACAGAUUACCGACAGAUUGGACAGGAUUAUGCUCCAUUAUAAUGCCUUUCACACUCAUUCAACACCAAGACAUGAAGUAUAGACAAAUGGGAGAAAAGAGAUUUUCCGUCCGGGUCUCUUAUUGACUAAAUAUACUUUGAUAACAUUGGGGUUCCAAGGGGGGUGCCAUAUGAGUCAAAGCAAGAAAUCAGAUCCUAGCAGGAUUAGAGUUAAGCAUU